AUUCAGGAAGCAGCAACAAGUGUGACAUCCCCUACCAUCUACCUUUUACCUUCCCCGGGCACCUAACCACCCUUCUCAAGGGGCAAGAGAGCGUCAUCCGUGUCGUUCCACCCACAUUGCGAGUGGAAGACAAAUACUCGUAAUCUGGUAUGUUCGUCUAAUCGUGUUACAAAGAACCCUUCUUCUUCGUCUUUGUAUUUAUAUCUUUUAUACGUAUGCUUAUCCUUUUCUGUCGUUUUCUUUUCUUCUUCAUUUUUUAUGCAAAGUAAAGUGGUGUUAUUGUUAGAUGUAUAUACAUAUCAUUGUUUAAAAGAUAUAAAAUGGCCCCUGUUCGUUUUGUGGAAUGUGACUUUUGGCAUUUUUCUAUAUCAGAUGUAAUAAUUCUUCAUUUCAUACGAAUGAAAUUUUCUCGAGUUAUUGUUUGGAUAAAUUAUCAGAAGUAACUUAAAUAACGUGGCGAUCGAUUUGUGGACCAUCCUAUAUAUGUACUUGAUCAGUUUUGAAAAAUUAUGUUA
rnacentral:misc_RNA from 1 species